GUGUCAGCCGCCGCGGUAAUACGUAGGUGGCGAGCGUUGUCCGGAUUUACUGGGCGUAAAGAGCGCGCAGGCGGCUGGUCAAGUCCGAUGUGAAAGCUCCCGGCUUAACUGGGAAAUUGCAUCGGAAACUGAUCGGCUGGAAGGUGGGAGAGGGUAGCGGAAUUCCCGGUGUAGUGGUGAAAUGCGUAGAUAUCGGGAGGAACACCAGUGGCGAAAGCGGCUACCUGGCCCAUUCUUGACGCUGAGGCGCGAAAGCUAGGGGAGCAAACGGGAUUAGAUACCCCCGUAGUCC
rnacentral:rRNA from 1 species